UACUGCUCAUCUGCAAAUAAACAAUAGCUGGUAAACAAUGAAAAUAUGGUGUUAAUACAUAUAUAGGAUGUGUACAUGUAUCAUCAAUUUGCAAGACUGUAAACUUUCAAUGGAGGCACGUCACUUCAGGGUAAAUUUGCACAGAUAUUAAAUUUCGGCCCCCUCAUUUUAGAUUUAGGCCUAAUGCGUGGCUGAAUUUUUAUAGCGCGCAGAUCGAUAUCGCUGUAAAAAUAAUCAUUUUUUUUAAACUAGCUGGGCAGCGAAAUCUUUGCUUUGCGCUAAAGUCAACAGUGGCAGAGUUUGAGCUCAAAUAAAUGCCGCUGCGCCUGAAGCACUUUGCAGAAGGCAUCGGACGAGCAGCGGACUCUCACGCCUUUCCUUUACAGCAGCUUACAGGUAUGGAUCAAUUUGCAAAAGUUCAUCAGUUGCAGCCCUAACCCUUCAAACCUUGAUGGAAGUGCUUGCUUGCCAAUCAUCCUCACAUCACCUUCACCUGCAGUCAUGUCUGACCUGGCCGCAUAUGAGAGAUAACAUUCGUGUCUGCAGAGCUGAGAGAGGGGACAAAAGGAAGUUUGACGUUAAUGAUUAACGGCGCUAAAAGCCCCUGCUUUUGUAUUCCCAUGGUACCGAGGCUAUCUGGUGGCCAUGUGACCUGCGUGGAGGAGAUUGGGGGUUAGCGGUAGAGCAAACACAGGUGCUGUGUUUGGGUUGGAGUCGCCUGCGCUGUCAGGGACAACCACAAACACACGCAGCUAUGCCAAGCUCCACAAACAGCCGCCUACGCCAACAGAUCAAGUCCAAUGUGCUCCUCCCCGUCUUCCUAUAUGUUCCACAUUGGAAAAAGUACCUGAUUUAUGUCUAGUGCAUUCUAGCUGGGGCAUUCUUAAGGAUUGUCCUUGAUGUAUAGUCUAAAUAAAAACACAAUUGCCUUUUACUUUUAUAAUAAUAAAAAAAACUAUUAAUACA